GUGGGGAAUAUUGCACAAUGGGCGCAAGCCUGAUGCAGCAACGCCGCGUGAGGGAUGACGGCCUUCGGGUUGUAAACCUCUUUUAGUAGGGAAGAAGCGUAAGUGACGGUACCUGCAGAAAAAGCACCGGCUAACUACGUGCCAGCAGCCGCGGUAAUACGUAGGGUGCAAGCGUUGUCCGGAAUUAUUGGGCGUAAAGAGCUCGUAGGCGGCUUGUCGCGUCUGCCGUGAAAACCCAGGGCUCAACUCUGGGCGUGCGGUGGGUACGGGCAGGCUAGAGUGCGGUAGGGGAGAUUGGAAUUCCUGGUGUAGCGGUGGAAUGCGCAGAUAUCAGGAGGAACACCGAUGGCGAAGGCAGAUCUCUGGGCCGUAACUGACGCUGAGGAGCGAAAGCAUGGGGAGCGAACAGGAUUAGAAACCCUUGUAGUCC
rnacentral:rRNA from 1 species